AAGUCUAAAUGUUAGCAAGUAAAGUCCUGAAUUUUCCACAAAUGAAUUCUCUAUCUAGCAGUCUAUAAAGGGGAUUUAAUGUUUAUAAUACCACCACAGUGUGGGAGGCAUUAAACAAUGUAAUUGCCCCUCUGGCCCUCAGCUUGUCUGUUCACCCCAAAGCUUGUAAUUUGAUUACUCUUUAACUAUUAAAUGGUUGGAUCUUGCGCAUACUUUUUAUGACCCCCUUCGAAGAAGAGGGGGUAUAUUGCUUUGCUCAUGUCGGUCUGUCUGUCGGUCGGUCCGUCCACCAGGUGGUUGUCAGACGAUAACUCAAGAACGCUUGGGCCUAGGAUCAUGAAACUUCAUAGGUACAUUGAUCAUGACUUGCAGAUGACCCCUAUUGAUUUUGAGGUCACUAGGUCAAAGGUCAAGGUCACGGUGACCCGAAAUAGUAAAAUGGUUUUUGAAUGAUAACUCAAAACGCAUACGCCUAGGAUCAUGAAACUUCAUGGGUAGAUUGAUCAUGACUUGCAGAUGACCCCUAUUGAUUUUGAGGUCACUAGGACAAAGGUCAAGGUCACGGUGACCCGAAAUAGUAAAAUGGUUUCCGGAUGAUAACUCAAGAACGCAUACGCCUAGGAUCAUGAAACUUCAUGGGUAGAUUGAUCAUGACUCGCAGAUGACCUCUAUUGAUUUUGAGGUCACUAGGUCAAAGGUCAAGGUCACGGUGACCCGAAAUAGUAAAAUGAUUUUCGGAUGAUAACUCAAGAACGCUUUUGCCUAGGAGCAUGACACUUCAUAGGUACAUUGAUCGUGACCCGCAGAUGACCC